UCGGAAAGAUGGGCGAACGCUGUAACAGGUAAUGUUAAAGAGGAAAGUCCGGGCUCCACAAAAACACAACGCCGAGUAACGCUCGGCCAAGGUAACUUGAGGGAAAGUGCCACAGAAAAUAUACCGCCGUUUAUAAAGCGGUAAGGGUGAAAUGGUGCGGUAAGAGCGCACCGCAUUGGAAGUAAUUCCACAUGGCAGGGUAAACCCCGUUGGGAGCAAAGCCAAAUAGGAGUGAUAAAGUGUAGACUUGAUGCUGUGUUUUUGAGCAACAUCACUCGGGUAGGCUGCUAAAGUACUUUGGUAAUAAAGUUACGUAGAGAAAUGAUCGCCAAGACAGAACCCGGCUUAUAGUCUUUCCGUUUUU
rnacentral:RNase_P_RNA from 2 species